UCCCUUCUGCCGCCUCCUCCCAAUCGUAAAAAUGCAUCUUGCGAGGCAGCGCCGGCCCCGUGGCCCGGGCAGUGCCACACUCACCCCGUGCCCUCGGCCACCCGGUGCCCCGGGCCGGCUGGCGCUCGGCAGAUGCUCUAAUUCGGGGUUCCUGCCUCGGGAGUGGCGUCAUGAGCUGGAUGAGCUCAGGCUUUAAGCUACAAAGGCUUCUUAAGGGGAGCCCCUGUCUGGGUCUGGUUAUUGGGACACCAGCGCCGGAAGGCGAUGCUGGGCUUAACGGGAUAAGGGCAAAGUGUGGAGCGUGGCGGGGUUGGGGGGGCUGUAAUCCUCUGCCAGCACAGCCCUGUGGGAGCCUGGGGGCAGCAUCCUCCAUCACAGCCGCUGUCCUCUCCCAUGGGAUGUGCAGGGAAUGCACGGGAUGCGUUCCUCAGAAGGAAGUUGUGUCUGGAGCUCUGGAGCCCCAUUUGGGUCACCGCGCUGCCCGUUGAGAGCUCCGGGGCUCUCUGGGGUUGGGCUGAAAACAGGGAGAAGCCUGAACCCUGAAGGUGGUGCACUUUGCAGCCCUGACCCCGUGGUGGGAGUGUCUGGACUCCCCGGUGACCCCGGUGUCCCCAGGCCCGGUGGCUCCUCCAGCCCAGCCGGCCCCUGAGGGAAGUCUGAGCUGGAUGAGCUUCUCCGCUUCUCCCCCUGUUUUUACCAUCCCCUUGUUUUCAGAACCAGCAAAGCCAGCGAGGUGACAAGAGAUGGAGCAUCCCUGAGGAGACAACAGAGACCAUCAGCUGCUCCAGCUGGACACUGAUCCUGGAAGAAGGCAGAAAGCUGCUGGACCAGCAAGAGCUUUCAGUAAUGGAGUGAUCCAUAACAGCCCAGCAUGACCUGGGACUGGCACAGAGCCUGGCUGCUGUCACACCCCUGCUGAGGAGGCAGGCUGAUCCCAGCCCGGGUAAGAGCUGGGGUGUUGGGAAGGUGGAGAAGGAAAUGGGGUGACAGGAAUGCUCUUGGAGAGAAGGCAUUGGCACCCUCUGGUCUGGGAGAGCACCCCAGGCAGACUGAGCCAGCACGGGUGUGGCAGCAGGAUGUGGGGACCUGGCUGUGGCCACCCCUUCCUGCAGGAACCUCUGCACACCGGAGCUCUACUGGGAGCACUGGUCCCUCCUGGGGUCACACCGAGCCUCUGAAGCUUUUUGGUUUAAUGAACUUUUCAUAGAAUCACAGAAAAGUUUGGAGGAGGGACCUUAAAUCUCAUCUUGUCCCAACCCCCUCCAUGGGCAGGGACACCUCCCACUAGAGCAGAUUGCUCCGAGCUUUUAUGUCCAAUAACAGAAAGAGCUCGAUAGCAAAAAUAAUCCCACUUUUCGUAGCAUUUGGGGCAUUCCUGGGGCUCGUUAUCGCACCACGCGUUGCGAGCACUAACAAAAAGCUGAGCGAGCCGAGGACAGCGUGUCCCCUGCUCCAGGUCAGCCCCUCCCGGCAGCGGCUGCUCUUUGUGCGGGGCCCGGUGCCCGCUCCGAGCGCGCUCCCUCUGCCGUCCCCGGUGCUGCGGAUCCAGCGGAGCGUGAACCACGCGGAACAGCGAGCGAGGAUGGAGGAGGUGGCAGCGUUCCUGCACACGGGAGCUCUGUGCUGGAAAAAAGGGAGAGAAACGCUGAUUUUUAGAGGGGAGAAGUUGCUCCGGUUUGGCCUCUGGCCACAGCCCAGGGGCUCCCCACACUCAAAGCUGGGUGAAGCGCGGCUCCCCCGUUGCUGAGGGAUGUGGGAUGGAGCACUGGACACACGGCUUGACCCCUUCCCAUCCCAUCAGGAUGCCCAAGAAGGGCAGGUAGGACAAUUAAGGCUUGGUCCCACUGCCUUCUCAGCACUCCGGGUGUGAGAGGGCUCCUUGUAGGGCCGAGAGCUGUGCCACCCUCAUGUCAGGGUGCCAGUGCUGGUCAGGAGCUGCCAAAUGCUCUGGAAAGCUUCAAAAUGAGAGAGAAAUUGGGAUAUGUAUGCUGGAUCCGGGCCAGCCUGGAGCCCUGCCUGGGAGUUUGUAUUUCCUUGUACCUGCUCCCCUUUUUCCAUGGCUUUGCAGCUGUGGGAAAGGGAUGCUCUGGGAGCACGGUGUGAUCUUGAGAGUUUUAUCUACAAAAGAUGCAGAAAUAAACAUGAUUUUUGGUACAAAAAAACCGUGAUUUUUUUCUCCAUAUCCUAGCUUUGCUGGUGCAGAGCUGAACCUGGAGCCUUGUGGCACUGAGCUGCAGGGAGCUCAUCCAGGCUGGAAGGGGCAGCUGAGGAGCUGGAGCAGCAUCACAGCUGUGGUGGGCUGGGCACUGCCACCACAUCCCUGGAGAAGGCUGGAAAUCCUGUUUCCUGCUCCAAAAAUCCACCGUGGCACACCAGGUGUGGUGUCUCAGAGCCCAGACACAGGCUCUGGGGCAUGGAGGUGUCCCCGCUGCCCAGAUGUCACCAGGGCUGAAGGCCAGGUGGGUGGGAAGUGGGGAGGACAGGACCCUUGGCACGAUGAAUAUUCCCCAGGGACAAACCAGCAAGCAGAGCCCUGGUCACACUGGUCAAGCCUUUUUGUCCCCGAGGGUGUGCACACCUGUGUGACAGCUCUGUGACAGCAGUGUCCCUCCUGGUGACCCCUGGAGGCUGCCCCUGCCCUCGCAGUCACACGAGGAGCCCCAGCCCAGCCCCCGGCUGAGUUUAGAGGUCAAAGCAGCCAGAACUGGGCCAGGCUGCCGCUCCCUGCUGCUCUGCUGGGAUGAAGGACGCCUUCUCCCAGAUGGCCACUUUGGCGGGACAAGUGUUCAUCCACGUGGCCCUGGCUUGGUGGCACAGGAGGGGUUUGUCCUUGGGACAGGUUCUGCCCAGGGGCUGGA